rnacentral:lncRNA from 1 species
UGCAUCAGGUGUGUUUAUUCAUUCUCAGUAGAAGCUGGGUUCCCGCUAGUGACUACUUUACAUUGUGACUGAAUACUGGAGGCCUUUAAUAGGAGAGAGACGAUUCUUUUGGAGCUUUUGAAAGGAGAUUUCAGCCGUGUUUGAUUGUAUCUAAAAGAGAAAGGAUUACCUAACUUGUCAAGCUAACAUUUAACUUUUAACCCACCGGACAAAGAUGAUGUAGACAGAGAGUAUCUCCUCCUCAGUCCUCACAAACAAUCUGUUGUCCAUUUACACCUUUCAGUGACCAAAGUCAUUGUUCCUGCUUUCCCCUGUACUCUACGACUGCAACAGUCAGACACCCCAUGUCUGUCCUCCUGUCCCCUACCACUGCAACAGUCAGACACCCCAUGUCUGUCCCCUACCACUGCAACAGUCAGACACCCCAUGUCUGUCCUCCUGUCCCCUACCACUGCAACAGUCAGACACCCCAUGUCUGUCCCCUACCACUGCAACAGUCAGACACCCCAUGUCUGUCCUCCUGUCUCCUACCACUGCAACAGUCAGACACCCCAUGUCUGUCCCCUACCACUGCAACAGUCAGACACCCCAUGUCUGUCCUCCUGUCAGACAUCCUACCACUGCAACAGUCAGACACCCCAUGUCUGUCCUCCUGUCCCCUACCACUGCAACAGUCAGACACCCCAUGUCUGUCCUCCUGUCCCCUACCACUGCAAAAGUCAGAUACCCCAUGUCUGUCCUCCUGUCCCCUACCACUGCAACAGUCAGACACCCCAUGUCUGUCCUCCUGUCCCCUACCACUGCAACAGUCAGACACCUCAUGUCUGUCCUCCUGUCCCCUACCACUGCAACAGUCCGACACCCCAUGUCUGUCCCCUACCACUGCAACAGUCAGACACCCCAUGUCUGUCCUCCUGUCCCCUACGACUGCAACAGUCAGACACCCCAUGUCUGUCCUCCUGUCCCCUACCACUUCAACAGUCAGACACCCCAUGUCUGUCCUCCUGUCCCCUACCACUGCAACAGUCAGACACCCCAUGUCUGUCCUCCUGUCCCCUACCACUGCAACAGUCAGACACCCCAUGUCUGUCCUCCUGUCCCCUACCACUGCAACAGUCAGACACCUCAUGUCUGUCCUCCUGUCCCCUACCACUGCAACAGUCAGACACCCCAUGUCUGUCCCCUACCACUGCAACAGUCAGACACCCCAUGUCUGUUCUCCUGUCCCCUACCACUGCAACAGUCAGACACCCCAUGUCUGUCCUCCUGUCCCCU